ACGGAAGGCAGCAGUGGGGAAUAUUGCACAAUGGGCGAAAGCCUGAUGCAGCGACGCCGCGUGAAUGAAGAAGUAUUUCGGUAUGUAAAGUUCUAUCAGCAGGGAAGAAAAUGACGGUACCUGACUAAGAAGCCCCGGCUAACUACGUGCCAGCAGCCGCGGUAAUACGUAGGGGGCAAGCGUUAUCCGGAUUUACUGGGUGUAAAGGGAGCGUAGACGGAAAAGCAAGUCUGAUGUGAAAACCCGGGGCUCAACCCCGGGACUGCAUUGGAAACUGUUUAUCUAGAGUGCCGGAGGGGUAAGUGGAAUUCCUAGUGUAGCGGUGAAAUGCGUAGAUAUUAGGAGGAACACCAGUGGCGAAGGCGGCUUACUGGACGGUAACUGACGUUGAGGCUCGAAAGCGUGGGGAGCAAACAGGAUUAGAUACCCUGGUA
rnacentral:rRNA from 1 species